rnacentral:rRNA from 1 species
GUUUGAUCAUGGCUCAGAUUGAACGCUGGCGGCAGGCCUAACACAUGCAAGUCGAGCGGUAGCACAAGAGAGCUUGCUCUNUGGGUGACGAGCGGCGGACGGGUGAGUAAUGUCUGGGAAACUGCCUGAUGGCGGGGGAUAACUAGUGGAAACGGUAGCUAAUACCGCAUAACGUCGCAAGACCAAAGUGGGGGACCUUCGGGCCUCACGCCAUCAGAUGUGCCCAGGUGGGAUUAGCUGGUAGGUGGGGUAACGGCUCACCUAGGCGACGAUCCCUAGCUGGUCUGAGAGGAUGACCAGCCACNCUGGAACUGAGACACGGUCCAGACUCCUACGGGAGGCAGCAGUGGGGAAUAUUGCACAAUGGGCGCAAGCCUGAUGCAGCCAUGCCGCGUGUGUGAAGAAGGCCUUCGGGUUGUAAAGCACUUCAGCGAGGA